rnacentral:rRNA from 1 species
UACGAAGGGGGCUAGCGUUGCUCGGAAUUCAGUACGUGGGCGUAAAGCGGCACGUAGGCGGAUUGAUUAAGUCAGGGGGUGAAAUCCUGGAGCUCAACUACCAGAACUGCCUUUGAUGACUGGCGAUCUUGAGUCCGGGAGAGGUGAGUGGAAACUCCGAGUGUAGAGGUGAAAUUCGUAGAUAUUCGGAAGAACACCAGUGGCGAAGGCGGCCUCACUGGCCCGGUAUGGACGACUG